rnacentral:rRNA from 1 species
CCUCCUUUGUUCCGCCGUGCGGAAUAUUGGUCAAUGAGCGAGAGCCUGAACCAGCGACGUCGCGUGAGGGAGUACUGCCCUAUGGGUUGUAAACCUCUUUUGUCGGGGAGCAAAAUCCGGACGUGUCCGGCUGUGAGAGUACCCGAAGACACAGCAUCGGCUAACUCCGUGCCAGCAGCAGCGGGCAUACGGAGGCUGCGAGCGUUAUCCGGAUUUUUUGGGUGUAAUGGGUGCGCAGGCGGAUUUGUACGGCUGCGGUCAAAUCGCGGGGCUCAACCCCAUCCAGCCUGUGAAACUGGGGAUCUAGAGUGAGCGAGAGGUAUGCGGAAUGCGUGGUGUAGCGGUGAAAUGCAUAGAUAUCAGGCAGAACCCCGAGUGCGAAGGCAGCAUACCGGUGCACAACUGACGCUGAGGCACGAAAGCGUGGGUAUCGAACAGGAGUAGAUACCCUGGUAGUC